rnacentral:rRNA from 1 species
GACGAACGCUGGCGGCGUGCUUAACACAUGCAAGUCGAACGGAAAGGCCCUGCUUUUGUGGGGUGCUCGAGUGGCGAACGGGUGAGUAACACGUGAGUAACCUGCCCUUGACUUUGGGAUAACUUCAGGAAACUGGGGCUAAUACCGGAUAGGAGCUCCUGCUGCAUGGUGGGGGUUGGAAAGUUUCGGCGGUUGGGGAUGGACUCGCGGCUUAUCAGCUUGUUGGUGGGGUAGUGGCUUACCAAGGCUUUGACGGGUAGCCGGCCUGAGAGGGUGACCGGGAAACAUUGGGAGUGGUAGCAGGCCAGGCCCCGUGGGGGGGGAAGGAGGGGGGAAUUGGGCAAAGGGGGGGGAAGCCGGAGCCACCACCGCGGGGUGGGGGAGGGGGGCUGGGGGUUGGAAACCCGUUUCCGCCGGGGACGAGGGGGGAGGGAGGGUAAGGGAUAAAAGAGAACGGGCAAGCUCCGUG